GACGAACGCUGGCGGCGUGCUUAACACAUGCAAGUCGAACGAUGAAGAAGAGAAACGCGAACUUCGGUUCAAAUUUCACUUCGGAUUAGUGGCAGACGGGUGAGUAACGCGUGAGCAACCUACCUCUUACAAAGGGAUAGCCUCGGGAAACCGUGAUUAAUACCAUAUGACACAUUCAUAAGGCAUCUUAAGAAUGUUAAAGCUACGGCGGUAAGAGAUGGGCUCGCGUCCCAUUAGCUAGUUGGUGAGGUAACGGCCCACCAAGGCGACGAUGGGUAACCGGCCUGAGAGGGUGAACGGUCACAUUGGAACUGAGACACGGUCCAAACUCCUACGGGAGGCAGCAGUGGGGAAUAUUGCACAACGGAGGGAACUCUGAUGCAGCGACGCCGCGUGAGCGAUGAAGGAAUUCGUUUCGUAAAGCUCUGUUCUAUGGGAAGAAAAGGACUGUACCAUAGGAGAAAGCCCCGGCUAAAUACGUG
rnacentral:rRNA from 1 species